UUAAUACUCCAUCCGUCCGGAAAUACUUGUCGGAGGAAUGAAUAUAUCUAGAUGCAUUUUAGUUCUACAUACAUCCAUUUCUAUCCAUUUUUGCGACAAGUAAUUCUAGGCGAAGGGAGUAGUAU
rfam:Triticum aestivum genome assembly, contig: Triticum_aestivum_CS42_TGACv1_scaffold_146126_2BS